CUUCACCGACCCGAGCAGCAGCGGCCGUUCGGCCUCACGGUCCUGGCCGUACGUCGCCAGCAGCGCCUGCGCCUC
rnacentral:antisense_RNA from 1 species